rnacentral:lncRNA from 10 species
GAGAAGCCCUGCUGCACCACUCGGGCUUCCCAGAGCGGGGCUGGCCCGCGGGGGAAACUGAGGCCCGGGACCCCGACCGGCGCCUGCACUGUGCGACCCGCGUAGAAAUAGGCGCCCGAGGGGCCCCCAGCGCAACGCGGGAGCCCGGCCCAGCCCGGGGGUCCUGUGGUGAACUAGCGUCUGGGCUCUGCCGGCUUGAAGUCCGCUGAGCGCCUCGCCGCGCACCUCUAGACCCCGAGUCCCCGAUCUAGGGCCUCCUUGUAGCCCUAGGUAGCGCCCUCUAAGCUUGUUUCUGUUUUUAGGCGCUGGUAGGAGUGCUGUCACCGACGUCGUAGAGCCGCCGAGGGUGUUUCUGUAGGGUAAACAUGAAGCCUCGGCUAUAUUCCAGGCAUUUUCACUUGGAAACAUUUUACAUAAAGUAUUUGAAGGUCUAGAUAAAGAAUAACAGAGUGAUCCAUACUACAUGAUGAGGAGCUGUCCAAACACCAUGCAGAUGCUCCUAGGAUUCUUAAACUAGCCAAAAAUAAUUCCAGGCAUUGUCAGAUAUAGGAUAAGUACAUGAAGACAGGAGCUUGAACAAAGAGAGGAGUCAAGACCCCAUCUCAUAGAAAUGGAACCAGUUCAGGAGGCACUGCAGUUAAGGUCAACUGGAUGCCUUACUUCCAUGCUGCUGGUUUCUUUCUGUGGCAGAGCCCAUGCCCAUAAAUGUAAUUAACCCCACAGAAUGGGAAAGCUUUGAGUCUUUAGAUGGGAGCUAAUUAGCUCUGGUUUGGAGUUGGAAAAGGAGAAAGUAGAAAUUAAGAUUCAUUCUGACCUUGACCAACUUCAAGGUGCUUUAUUGAUGUGGCACUCAAGAGUAGUACCAUCCUCAAUUACUUCUAGUUCUCCUACUUUUCUAAACCUUCCUUCAUAAUUUCCUCCUUCACUUUCUCCUUACAUAUUCUUUACGUGUGAGAGUUCCUUAGGCUUAUGUUUCUGGUCCUUUUCUAUAUUUCUACCUACUUUUUCUAGAUGAAUUUAUUAUCAUGUUUUCAAACAUCAUCUAAAUGCUAAUGUCUUCCAAAUCCAUCUCUUUAGCCUCAUGGUCAAAAUCAUAUUUCCAACUGCCUGUUUAACAGUUUGACCUGGGUGUCCUUCAGCCACAUCAAUUCAAUGUGUCUAUACCUGCAUUCAACAUCUUCCCCAAAAUCUGCUUCUCCUAUUUUGCUUCUUGUCUUGGCUGACGUCAUCAUCACACAACCAGUUUCUCAAGCUGAAACAUGAGUCAUCCUCUUCCUUCAUCUCUCUCACCCUCCAAAAACAAUUGUCAACCAUGCUCUGUCAAUUAUACUGCAGAAACGUUACUCAAAUGUAAUUCCUUCAUGUAUCUCCGCAUUCCCUUGCCUUUCACAUUCCUGGAACACAAGUGCCCAAUAAGUAUUUGUUGAUUAGUAAUUGCCCAAUGAAUGCUGUAAGAAGAAAAGAUGAAGAAAAGGAGAAAACAAGGUAAGGAAAGGAAGGAGGGAGAUGGAAGGAAGGAAAGAGGUAGAUGUUUCCAAAGCAUGCUUUACAAAGACAUGAGCCAUUUUGUGGAUAACUGUAGCAUUGUUACCUUAUGUUUACUGGAGAAAAAAUAAAAUGAAUAAUCAUAAUAACAAUGACAAAAAAGUUAUUUUCCUUCCCAAUAUUUUUUCCUUGACAAUACCAAACUAAAAGUUUCACUCUGGUUAUUACGAUCUCUAUUCUGGUUAUUAUGCCAUACAAAGAUGAACUCAUUGACAAAGAAAAAUAUCAAGAAUCUUCCCCUGAUGACAAAGUGUAGCCCCGAAACAUAAUAGAAGGUCUGUGUUACCCUUUGUGGCAUCCAGGGGAUUUAUCAUCCCACUCCAAUACCCCCACCUAGGAGAGAACCUGUCAGCCUCUCCAGUAAUUUCUGCCACGAUGCUCACUGGGCCCUUACGUAGACUGACUGACUUCUCUAUUGCUACUUAUCUUGUAUCUUUAAGGCCAUGUGAACUCGAUUGAAUUACAAGUCUUUGUAGGCAGUUGCUAUGCCUUAUAUGUUCUUUAAUUUUCCUAGUUCUUAUUGAUUGAUUUAUGUAUUCAGAAACUCUCUGUUGAGUGCCUGCUCUGUACCAGACACUGUGCAAGGCACUAUGGGUAUAACUGUGAAAAGAACAGAAAAUAUAUCCAUUAUUCUGUACAUCCUCACAGAGGCUGUAAAUAAAUACUGUUGACAUUAGUUAUGAUAAUUCCCAACCCUAAUUAUCUGGGCAG